UACGGAGGGUGCAAGCGUUAUCCGGAUUCACUGGGUUUAAAGGGUGCGUAGGUGGGUUGGUAAGUCAGACGUGAAAUCCCUCGGCUUAACCGGGGAACUGCAUCUGAUACUGGAUGGCUUGAGAUUGGGAGAGGGAUGCGGAAUUCCAGGUGUAGCGGUGAAAUGCGUAGAUAUCUGGAGGAACACCGGUGGCGAAGGCGGCAUCCUGGACCAACACUGACGCUGAGGAGCGAAAGCCAGGGGAGCAAACGGG
rnacentral:rRNA from 1 species